UGGCGGCGUUCGGGGCGGGUAGUAGGGAUGCGCGGCGUGAAGCUAGUAGCAUCCCACGUCGUACCUUGGUAUCUUCUUCAAAGUUCUCGCUCCCUUUUCCUCCCAUUUGAUUUCCACCGUGCUCCUCAGAGGUUAGGAAGCCAGAGGGUCUGUUUUACUGCGGACAACACAAUACUGUGAUGUGCCAGGAUUUGCAGAUGCGUGCUCCACGGUACAACUGGCCAGGCUUCCUCAGCCUCCAUCUCCGUCCUGUCCCAACACCUAAGAGGCAAGAGGUGAGAACAGGGAAAAAAUGGAUAAAGUAUAAGCCACCAGCCUUUUGAAUACAAGCUGUAUGAUGAAGAUAGCAGAACUGAACAGACGAAGUGUGGGCUUUGUGGAACUGCCAUACCUGCUGUGGACUGCCAACUCCAGAUAUUGCAUGCCUAAGCAGUGACUGUUUUGGGUUGUAUAUGCAGAGAAACCUAAUCACAAUACACGGAGCUCUACUUCACACUUGCCCUUUGGUUUUUGCCUCCCAUUUCAAUGAAAACUUAUCUUCCUUUGUCUACACCCAGGUCCUCCACUUGAAUUUAAGAGUUUGAGUUUAAAAGAAUUUAAAAUAAAAUAAAAAAAUAAAAUUUUA